rnacentral:lncRNA from 10 species
AAAGGGGCCUAUCUCUGGUGCCAUUUGGUCUUAAUUAUUUACAGAAAAAAAAGGCAAAAUUUGCAGCUGUAUACCCCGUGACUCGAGUCAGAUGGCCACAUUCUUCUCAAGGCUCAGAAUAAUUUAAAGCUCCAACAGCUUUAAGACACUGCACUUGGUGGAUCAGCAGGCACCAUCCAGAUCGAUAAACUGGCUCAUCUGAUCUUAUGGUCUGCACCCAGGAACUGACUCAGCCCAGGAGGACAGCUUUGAUUCCCUAUGAUUGCAUCUCUGACCCAACCAAUCAGCACUCCUGACUCACUGGCUCCACCACCCACCAACUUAUCCUUAAAAACUCUUAUCCCUGAAUGCUCAGGGAGACUGAUUUGAGUAAUAAUAAAAUUCUGGUCUCCCAAACAGCC